UACAGAGGUCCCAAGCGUUGUUCGGAUUCACUGGGCGAAAGGGUGCGUAGGCGGUCGGGUAAGUCUGACGUGAAAUCUUCAAGCUUAACUUGGAACUGCGUCGGAUACUAUUGCUAGAGGAAUGGAGGGGAGACUGGAAUACUUGGUGUAGCAGUGAAAUGCGUAGAUAUCAAGUGGAACACCAGUGGCGAAGGCGAGUCUCUGGACAUUUCCUGACGCUGAGGAGCGAA
rnacentral:rRNA from 1 species